rnacentral:snRNA from 1 species
CCCUACUGAUGCCCGCGU